rnacentral:lncRNA from 1 species
UUUCUUCUUCCUUGCUAGUGUCUUUGGAGAGCCCUUGGAGGUGCAACCAUGGACCUUGUGUGUGCUCCUUUAGGCAUCUACGCAUAUUGCUGAGCAGCCACUCCGUGUUGCCUAUGUCAGGUGUUUGCCAUCUGCCACUGCUAGAUUAUGGUGAAUAACAAGUCACCAGAAGAACUUGUUGCCAGUCAUCACUCAAAAUGCUGCUGGGGAGGAAGCUGAGAUGACCAGAUUGAAGAAUAAAAAGGAUACCGGAUCCUUGAACCAGGAGGGAGAUCUUGCCCUGGCCUCACUUAGAAUGAACAUUUACAAUGGGAUUUUCCAAGAAGGUCAAUAGUAGGUAUACACCCUGCCUGGAUCAAGAGGCCAGGAACUGUCCAGGAGCCCAGCACCCCGCACAUUAUCCACAAAGCUGUCAGGGGCCUUUAAGAUCUACACUGGAAACACUAUCCAACAUGUGACAUUACCCCAUUACAUAGGAGCCUGUGAAGACACACAUGCUCAGGGCCAGCAGCAAGUCUGUGUGAGGCAGUCUGAGCUUAACAAGACCCCUUG